AUUCCAUGGUGAGGACAGCUUCUGGUGUAUCCUUUGACAUGUUCCCUAGCUUCAUUGAGGGAUUCUUGACUGCCCUACCUAAAGGAGUUGAUAUCACUUCUGUACU
rfam:Arabis alpina cultivar Pajares Aa.chr7_contig_1814, whole genome shotgun sequence.